CAAUGAACUGAAAGUGACCCUCACCACUGCCGGGAGAAGCUUGCCAAAACAAAUCUCCCUUGGGAGGUCGGAUGACCCAAUCCAGGAAGAGUUGCAGUUUUCCUUGGGAAGUAACAUCCAUGUAAAGGUGGAAGGGAAGGGAAAAGGAACUUUGACUAUCCUGAAACAGUUUCAUGUCAUGGCCGUGCAAAACACCUCCUGCCAAACCCUUGGCUUAAAGGU